rnacentral:rRNA from 1 species
UACGUAGGGUGCGAGCGUUGUCCGGAAUUAUUGGGCGUAAAGAGCUCGUAGGCGGUCUGUCGCGUCUGCUGUGAAAACCCGAGGCUCAACCUCGGGCCUGCAGUGGGUACGGGCAGACUAGAGUGCGGUAGGGGAGAAUGGAAUUCCUGGUGUAGCGGUGGAAUGCGCAGAUAUCAGGAGGAACACCGAUGGCGAGGGCAGUUCUCUGGGCCGUAACUGACGCUGAGGAGCGAAAGCGUGGGGAGCGAACAGG